rnacentral:rRNA from 1 species
UACGAAGGGGGCUAGCGUUGUUCGGAAUUACUGGGCGUAAAGCGCACGUAGGCGGAUCGAUCAGUCAGGGGUGAAAUCCCAGGGCUCAACCCUGGAACUCUCUUAUACUGUCGAUCUGGAGUAUGGAAGAGGUGAGUGGAAUUCCGAGUGUAGAGGUGAAAUUCGUAGAUAUUGGAAGAACACCAGUGGCGAAGGCGGCCAUCUGGACCGGUACUGACGCUGAGGCG